GUCAACAUAAAACACAACGGAGGAAGAAGUAUUUAUAUUCUUUACCUGAGUUUUAACACCAAGACUCUACAAGUAAAAGUGGAAAACCUUAAAAAGCAGAGAGGCGACCCUGAAGGACUCGGACCUGGAAGAGUUCAAGAAGCAGGCGAGCUGCCUCGGGUUCUCCGGAGAACCACAGUUCAUCUACAACCCCAAGAACGAUAAUGCUGAAAACAUGUGAAGUCGAUCGGACAAGGUCUCUUUUCUACUUAGCAACAGUCUGUUCUACUUAGCAACAGUCUGUUCUCCUUAGCAACAGUCUGUUCUCCUUAGCAACGGUCUGUUCUCC